CAAGGGAUAGUUUAUUAAAAUAUUAAUUUUGGAGAUUAAAGAUGAUUUUUUAUCUUCCUUGA
rnacentral:tRNA from 1 species